UACAGAGGUCUCAAGCGUUGUUCGGAUUCAUUGGGCGUAAAGGGUGCGUAGGUGGCGGGGCAAGUUUGGUGUGAAAUCCCGGGGCUCAACCCUGGAACUGCACUGAAUACUGCUUUGCUAGAGUACUGGAGAGGCAACUGGAAUUCUCGGUGUAGCGGUGAAAUGCGUAGAUAUCGAGAGGAACACCUGCGGCGAAGGCGGGUUGCUGGGCUGAUACUGACGCUGAGGCGCGAAAGCCAGGGGAGCGAACGGG
rnacentral:rRNA from 1 species